UACGUAGGGUGCAAGCGUUAAUCGGAAUUACUGGGCGUAAAGCGUGCGCAGGCGGUUUUGUAAGUCUGUCGUGAAAUCCCCCGGGCUCAACCUGGGAAUUGCGAUGGAGACUGCAAGGCUAGAAUCUGGCAGAGGGGGGGUAGAAUUCCACGUGUAGCAGUGAAAAUGCGUAGAGAUGUGGAGGAACACCGAUGGCGAAGGCAGCCCCCUGGGUCAAGAUUGACGCUCAUGCACGAAAGCGUGGGGAGCAAACAGG
rnacentral:rRNA from 1 species